CAUAGAAAAGAGCAGAUGAAGUUGAAAAUGAGUUCAAUGCAAUGUGUACCAUAGCACUACAGUAUUGUAGCUAUUGUGUGUGCUUUGUGUGUUCUUUAGGGGACACUGCAAUUGGUGAUGGUGUUACCAGGCACUUUUUUUCCACAAUCUUCACAAACUGAAGUAUGGUUUCAGUUUGAACUUGGGAAACACGGGAGUUACCUGCCUGUUUGAGGGGCAGCCAGACCACUUGGUGCCCUCAUCUUCACAGUCUUUUAAUGAAAGUGACCUCUUCCUGGUAGCAGGACGACUGCUCGGCCAUUCCUUCCUUCAUGGCAGACCAUGUCUUGCAGGGCUCAUCAGAGGUUUUGUCCAUGUGCUGCUGCUUGGUUCACAUGAUAUAGCCACUUUACUGUUGGAUGACUGCCCUGAUAUUGAUGUGUGAGAGACCAUCAACCUGGUAUAUAUAUACAAUAUAGAUACUUGGUCAACUUUUCAGUAAGUAUUCUUUUUACUCUAAGGAUGUUUUGUACUAAUUUUAUAAAAAAAUUUAAUUGAGCUUAAUGUACAGUAUCCAUUGGAUGAGGACCAACAUGAGAAAGAUUUGGAGCUUUGUUUGUUUUGGGAUCUCCUGGGUCCAACCGAAGAAAACAGAAGGUGGCUCUACGUACGUCCGCUUUCAGAUGCGGUCCUUGGGAGAAAAACACGCCAAAUGAAACCACUCAGACGAGGACUUAAAGAUACAAUGGUUUGGUCGCUUCUGACUGAGAGGAAGGAUGUGGUGUUUUUUUCCAAUGGAAUCUGAAGACUCUUGAUCCUCUGAGACAACAGUCUACUGGUCAUGAUGUAGAUGCUGCUUUCUCGAAUAUCCUGGCCUGCUGAUGAUGAUGAUGAUGAUGAGGAAUACCCAGCUGAAACAAACCAACGUAUCUCUAGGUACUUGAGGCAGUUCAUUGAGAUGGGUAUGGUAUCAGCAAUGUACCUCCAGAACUAUAUUAGCUUCUUUAUUUACAUUAAAUAUAAAUAAGAUUUUAAAAAUACGUCGUCAUCUGACAUUUGUG